UGGGGAAUUUUCCGCAAUGGGCGAAAGCCUGACGGAGCAAGACCGCGUGAGGGAGGAAGGCCUACUGGUUGUAAACCUCUUUUGAUAGGGAAGAAGAAAGUGACGGUACCUAUCGAAUCAGCAUCGGCUAACUCCGUGCCAGCAGCCGCGGUAAUACGGAGGAUGCAAGCGUUAUCCGGAAUUAUUGGGCGUAAAGCGUCCGUAGGUGGUUAUUCAAGUCAGCUGUCAAAGGAUGGAGCUUAACUCCAUAAAGGCAGUUGAAACUGUGUAGCUAGAGUGCGAUAGGGGCAAGGGGAAUUCCCAGUGUAGCGGUGAAAUGCGUAGAUAUUGGGAAGAACAUCGGUGGCGAAAGCGCCUUGCUGGGUCUGCACUGACACUGAGGGACGAAAGCUAGGG
rnacentral:rRNA from 1 species